GUUCUCCUCGAAAUAGCUUUAGGGCUAGCCUCGAGAGGAGUCUAACGGAGGUAAAGCACUGAACUGACGCGGGGCCCAAAAAGGUUACCAACUCAAAUCAAACUAAGAAUGCCGUCAAGAUACCCUCGGGAGUCAGACUACGGGAGAUAAGUUUCGUGGUCAAAAGGGAAAGAGCCCAGACCGACAGCUAAGGUCCCAAAGUGUGUGUUAAGUGGAAAAGGAUGUGGGAUUUCAUAGACAACUAGGAUGUUGGCUUAGAAGCAGCCAUACAUUUAAAGAGUGCGUAAUAGCUCACUAGUCGAGAGAACCUGCGCCGAAAAUAAUCGGGGCUAAAACACACCACCGAAGCUACGGAUUUCCUGCUUAAGGUAGGAAGUGGUAGAGGAGCAUACUGCAAGGACGAAGCCUGAUUGAGAGAGAAGGUGGACGAAGCAGUAGAGAGAAUGCCGGAAUGAGUAGCGAGAUAUAUGUGAGAACCAUAUAGGCCGAAUAUCUAAGGAUUCCUGAGUGAAGCUAAUCUGCUCAGGGUAAGUCGGGACCUAAGGCGAGGACGAGAGUCGUAGUCGAUGGACAACUGGUAGAGAUUCCAGUACUAUGUAUAAUCAGAACUGUGGGGACGCAGGAGGAUAGAUGGACCGCGGAAAGGGAAGACGCGGCCAAGUACAAAGUCAAGUUAGGUAGGCAAAUCCGCCAAACGAUGAUGAAGUACGACGGGGACUGAAAGAAAGUAAGGAAGUCAUUGAAUCCACACUGCCGAGAAAAGCCGCUAUAGUGUUAUACAUACCCGUACCGUAAACCGACACAGGUAGAUGAGGAGAAAAUCCACAGGCCGACGGGAGAAGUGUUGUUAAGGAACUCGGCAAAAUGACCCCGUAACUUAGGGAGAAGGGGAGCCACGAGAGUGGUCACAGAAAAGAGGCUCAAGCAACUGUUUAGCAAAAACACAGGUCUCUGCGAAACCGAAAGGUGAAGUAUAGGGGCUGACACCUGCCCGGUGCUGGAAGGUUAAAAGGAGAGGUUAGCCGCAAGGCGAAGCUUUGAAUUCAAGCCCCAGUAAACGGCGGCCGUAACUAUAACGGUCCUAAGGUAGCGAAAUUCCUUGUCAGGUAAGUUCUGACCCGCACGAAAGGUGUAAUGAUUUGAGCACUGUCUCGACAACACGCCCGGUGAAAUUGAAGAACCAGUGAAGAUACUGGUUACCCGCAACAGGACGGAAAGACCCCAUGGAGCUUUACUGCAGCCUGAUACUGGGAUUCGAUGAUGUAUGUACAGGAUAGGAGGGAGACAGAGAAGGUAGGACGCCAGUCUUGCCGGAGUCGCCGGUGGGAUACCUCUCUUACAUCAUUGGAUUUCUAACCUGCAUCCGUGAACCGGAUGAGGGACAAUGUCAGGCGGGCAGUUUGACUGGGGCGGUCGCCUCCAAAAGAGUAACGGAGGCGCUCAAAGGUCUUCUCAGAAUGAUUGGAAACCAUUCAAAGAGUGUAAAGGCAAAAGAAGGCUUGACUGCGAGGUCGACGGACCGAGCAGGUACGAAAGUAGGACUUAGUGAUCCGGUGGUAAUACGUGGGAAUGCCAUCGCUCAACGGAUAAAAGCUACCCUGGGGAUAACAGGCUGAUCUCCCCCAAGAGUUCACAUCGACGGGGAGGUUUGGCACCUCGAUGUCGGCUCAUCGCAUCCUGGGGCUGAAGUAGGUCCCAAGGGUUGGGCUGUUCGCCCAUUAAAGCGGUACGCGAGCUGGGUUCAGAACGUCGUGAGACAGUUCGGUCCCUAUCCGUUGUGGGCGUAGGAAAUUUGAGAGGAGCUGUCCUUAGUACGAGAGGACCGGGAUGGACGAACCGCUGGUGUAUCUGUUGUCAUACCAAAUGCACGGCAGAGUAGCUAAGUUCGGAACGGAUAAACGCUGAAGGCAUCUAAGCGUGAAGCCGCCC
rnacentral:rRNA from 1 species